AGUAUCAUUAACUGAAUACAUAGGUUAAUGAAGCGAACCGGGGGAACUGAAACAUCUAAGUACCCCGAGGAAGAGAAAUCAACCGAGAUUCCGGUAGUAGCGGCGAGCGAAACCGGAUUAGCCCUUAAGCUAGUUCUGCGUUAGGUGAAGGUUCUGGAAAGUUCCGCGAUACAGGGUGAUAGCCCCGUAACCAAAAACGCAUUAAUAGUGAAAUCGAGUAGGACGGGACACGUGAUAUCCUGUUUGAACAUGGGGGGACCAUCCUCCAAGGCUAAAUACUCCUGACUGACCGAUAGUGAACCAGUACCGUGAGGGAAAGGCGAAAAGAACCCCUGUGAGGGGAGUGAAAUAGAACCUGAAACCGUGUACGUACAAGCAGUAGGAGCCCACUUGUUGGGUGACUGCGUACCUUUUGUAUAAUGGGUCAGCGACUUAAUUUUAGUAGCAAGGUUAACCGUUUAGGGGAGCCGUAGGGAAACCGAGUCUUAACUGGGCGUCAUAGUUGCUAGGAUUAGACCCGAAACCGAGUGAUCUAGCCAUGGGCAGGUUGAAGGUGAGGUAACACUUACUGGAGGACCGAACCGACUAAUGUUGAAAAAUUAGCGGAUGACUUGUGGCUAGGGGUGAAAGGCCAAUCAAACUCGGAGAUAGCUGGUUCUCCCCGAAAGCUAUUUAGGUAGCGCCUCGGACGAAUACUACUGGGGGUAGAGCACUGUUAAGGCUAGGGGGUCAUCCCGACUUACCAACCCUUUGCAAACUCCGAAUACCAGUAAGUAAUAUCCGGGAGACACACGGCGGGUGCUAACGUCCGUCGUGAAGAGGGAAACAACCCAGACCGCCAGCUAAGGUCCCAAAGUUAUAGCUAAGUGGGAAACGAUGUGGGAAGGCUCAGACAGCCAGGAUGUUGGCUUAGAAGCAGCCAUCAUUUAAAGAAAGCGUAAUAGCUCACUGGUCGAGUCGGCCUGCGCGGAAGAUUUAACGGGGCUAAGCUAUACACCGAAGCUGCGGCAAUAUG
rnacentral:rRNA from 1 species